AUACUCGGGUAAUCGCUGUAUGACUCGAUCAUGCAGAGGAAAGUCCAUGCUCGCACAGGCUGAGAUGCCUGUAGUGUUCGUGCCUGACGAAACCAUAAGUCAGGGUAGUGAAUUUCACUAACGGCAGGGAAAAUUCCUAAGUCGACAGAUAUGGAAUGAAUACCUUGAAAGUGCCACAGUGACGGAGCCGGUGCAGAAAUGCAGCGGGUGGAACGAGGUAAACCCCACGAGCGAGCAACCCAAAAUUAGGUAGGGGCACUUUUCCGAUGGAAUUUGAACAGAGGAAGAGGCCGUUUAACGGCAGAUAGAUGAUUACCACCGGAGUACGAGGUUGACCACCGCUUGCAGUACACUGGUACAGAACAUGGCUUACAGAG
rnacentral:RNase_P_RNA from 1 species